rnacentral:rRNA from 1 species
ACCCUUCGGGGUACUCGAGCGGCGAACGGGUGAGUAACACGUGAGUAACCUGCCCUGGACUUUGGGAUAACCCUCGGAAACGGGGGCUAAUACCGAAUAUUACUUCCCCUCGCAUGGGGGGUGGUGGAAAGUUUUUCGGUCUGGGAUGGGCUCGCGGCCUAUCAGCUUGUUGGUGGGGUGAUGGCCUACCAAGGCGACGACGGGUAGCCGGCCUGAGAGGGCGUCCGGCCACACUGGGACUGAGACACGGCCCAG